GCCAUGACUUUAUUUUUGAAUAUUUCUGUGUUCAUGUGGUAGGGAAAACAUUGUUGUAUACUACAAAUUCCCUGUUUUGCUUUUAGGUUGGAGACUACAUAAGACUUUGACAGUUGGCGGGAAACCAUCAUCAACUGGAGAGAUGCCGGAAGAGGAAUGUCUGCGACUAAGUCAAGGGCCACUGGAUAAGGGUUGUUGAUGGCAAAACAGGUUGGAGACUACAUAAGACUUUGACAGUUGGCGGGAAACCAUCAUCAACUGGAGAGAUGCCGGAAGAGGAAUGUCUGCGACUAAGUCAAGGGCCACUGGAUAAGGGUUGUUGAUGGCAAAACAGGAAGAGGAAUGUCUGCGACUAAGUCAAGGGCCACUGGAUAAGGGUUGUUGAUGGCAAAACAGGUAAUAAUAUCAUUUUGUUAUCAUGUACACAAGCAAAUAAGCAUAUGUAUGAUGCUUUAGGUGUGAAAGACUGUCAUAAUCAGGAUUGUGGUCACUCACACCCUUGCCGUCAUGUAAUUCUCCUCGCAGUUUGUAUUGAUAGUUCCGCGUCCUGACAUGUAAAGCUCGUGCUUUGUUGGCAGCUGAAGUUGGCACUUAACAGGGUUAUCCUUGUUCCUGAGCAUGUAUGCAGUACAGCUGAGUUGAUUUGCUACUUGUUACCCUACAAUUAGCUUGUUUUUGGUAUUGUUUUCUCACAAUAUGCUUAUAUUCAUGGUUCCGGCUUAAAAUGGUGUCGCGCCUUACUUAAACAUAGGAUUGUUAUAGCAAGUGUCCCCUUCAUCAUUUACCUUAGAGGGAUUUUUUUGACAAAAUUUGGCACUUUCAGCAACUUGUUUUGUUUUUUAUUUGGUACAUGCUUCUCUCAUUCAGUGAUUUAAUGACAGUAUUGUCCUUAUUCUUUUUUCUUUGCAUAGAAAGGUGACAUGAAUCAUUGAUAUUUGUUGUGUUGAGAAUUCUGCAGGAAGCUGUGUCCCCAAAAGAAGUACUAGAAACCCCUUUCAGGACACUGCCUUGAUCUGAACUGCCUUUCUACCCCUGUUACUA